AAACCAGCACCUCAAGUGGUCAGGAUGAUUAUUGGGCCUAAAGCAUCCGUAGCCUGCUCUGUAAGUUUUCGGUUAAAUCUGUACGCUUAACGUACAGGCUGCCGGAAAUACGGCAGAGCUAGGGAGUGGGAGAGGUAGACGGUACUCGGGAGGAAGUGGUAAAAUGCUUUGAUCUCUCGAUGACCACCUGUGGCGAAGGCGGUCUACCAGAACACGUCCGACGGUGAGGGAUGAAAGCUGGGGGAGCAAACCGGAUUAGAAACCCGAGUAGUCC
rnacentral:rRNA from 1 species